rnacentral:rRNA from 1 species
GCUCAGAUUUGAAAUCUGGCCCCUUCGGGGUCCGAGUUGUAAUCUGUAGAGGAUGCUUUUGGCGACGCGCCUUCCGAGUCCCCUGGAACGGGGCGCCAGAGAGGGUGAGAGCCCCGUAUGGUUGGACGCCGAACCUCUGUAAAGCUCCUUCGACGAGUCGAGUAGUUUGGGAAUGCUGCUCAAAAUGGGAGGUAAAUUUCUUCUAAAGCUAAAUACCGGCCAGAGACCGAUAGCGCACAAGUAGAGUGAUCGAAAGAUGAAAAGCACUUUGAAAAGAGGGUCAAAUAGCACGUGAAAUUGCUGAAAGGGAAGCGCUUGUGACCAGACUUGCGCCCGGUUGAUCAUCCAGCGUUCUCGCUGGUGCACUCUGCCGGGCUCAGGCCAGCAUCGGCUCUCCCAGGGGGAUAAAGGUCGCGGGAACGUAGCUCUCUCCGGGGAGUGUUAUAGCCCGUGGCGGAAUGCCCUUAGGGGGGGCCGAGGCCCGCGUUCGCAAGGAUGCUGGCGUAAUGGUCACCAGCGACCCGUCUUGAAACACGGACCAAGGAGUCAAGCAUUAGGGCGAGUCUUUGGGUGCAAAACCCGCAGGCGCAAUGAAAGUGAACGGAGGUGAGAGCUUCGGCGCAUCAUCGACCGAUCCUGAUGUUCUCGGAUGGAUUUGAGUAAGAGCCUUACCGCUUGGACCCGAAAGAUGGUGAACUAUGCCUGAAUAGGGUGAAGCCAGAGGAAACUCUGGUGGAGGCUCGCAGCGGUUCUGACGUGCAAAUCGAUCGUCAAAUUUGGGCAUGGGGGCGAAAGACUAAUCGAACCAUCUAGUAGCUGGUUACCGCCGAAGUUUCCCUCAGGAUAGCAGUGUUGUCUUCAGUUUAUGAGGUAAGCGAAUGAUUAGGGACUCGGGG